UACGAAGGGGGCUAGCGUUGUUCGGAAUCACUGGGCGUAAAGGGCGCGUAGGCGGCUUUAUAAGUCGGGGGUGAAAGCCUGUGGCUCAACCACAGAAUUGCCUUCGAUACUGUAGAGCUUGAGACCGGAAGAGGUAAGUGGAACUGCGAGUGUAGAGGUGAAAUUCGUAGAUAUUCGGAAGAACACCAGUGGCGAAGGCGGCUCACUGGCCCGGUACUGACGCUGAGGUGCGAAAGCGUGGGAGCAAACAGG
rnacentral:rRNA from 1 species